rnacentral:rRNA from 1 species
GGCGUGCCUAAUACAUGCAAGUCGAGCGGACAGAUGGGAGCUUGCUCCCUGAUGUUAGCGGCGGACGGGUGAGUAACACGUGGGUAACCUGCCUGUAAGACUGGGAUAACUCCGGGAAACCGGGGCUAAUACCGGAUGGUUGUUUGAACCGCAUGGUUCAGGCAUAAAAGGUGGCUUCGGCUACCACUUACAGAUGGACCCGCGGCGCAUUAGCUAGUUGGUGAGGUAACGGCUCACCAAGGCGACGAUGCGUAGCCGACCUGAGAGGGUGAUCGGCCACACUGGGACUGAGACACGGCCCAGACUCCUACGGGAGGCAGCAGUAGGGAAUCUUCCGCAAUGGACGAAAGUCUGACGGAGCAACGCCGCGUGAGUGAUGAAGGUUUUCGGAUCGUAAAGCUCUGUUGUUAGGGAAGAACAAGUGCCGUUCAAAUAGGGCGGCACCUUGACGGUACCUAACCAGAAAGCCACGGCUAACUACGUGCCAGCAGCCGCGGUAAUACGUAGGUGGCAAGCGUUGUCCGGAAUUAUUGGGCGUAAAGGGCUCGCAGGCGGUUUCUUAAGUCUGAUGUGAAAGCCCCCGGCUCAACCGGGGAGGGUCAUUGGAAACUGGGGAACUUGAGUGCAGAAGAGGAGAGUGGAAUUCCACGUGUAGCGGUGAAAUGCGUAGAGAUGUGGAGGAACACCAGUGGCGAAGGCGACUCUCUGGUCUGUAACUGACGCUGAGGAGCGAAAGC